GUCUACAGCCAUACCACCCUGAAUGUGCCUGAUCUUGUCUGAUCUCAGAAGUUAAGCAGGGUCGGGCCUGGUUAGCACUUGGGAGACUGCCUGGGAAUACUGGGUGGUGUAGGCU
ensembl:rRNA 5S_rRNA 5S ribosomal RNA